CAGGAAAGGCGAAUGGCAGGCUUGUAUGGGACUUUCGUACCGCUAAUAAAAUUUCGUGUUUUGGGAUAUUUUUUGUUUUAAUUGAUGGGUAAUAUGAUAGACAAGCCCUUUGUAAAUUCUUAGAUUUUUAGAACUUGGGAAGUAAAAGUUAUAACCAGUUUUGUUUUUUAAGGUUAUGUACUACAGUGUACCCAUGUAAGUUGUUUUAGCUAGGUACAUAAACAUUGUUAUGGUAAUGAUAAAAUAAAUGUUCUACCUAGCUUGUCUCUUAA
rnacentral:lncRNA from 1 species